UUCCAGAAAGCAGUGUGCUCCCUGAGGAAAAGGCCGUGGUCAUUGUCUUAGGGAAUCUGCUGGCUCUGACUCUGACAGUCCUCAGCUGCCCCAUAAAUCUUCCAUCAGUUCCAUCCAGCCAAAAAGAUGUCAUCACCGUUUUCUCCUAGCGACAAGGAAUAAAAGGGCAUCCCUGACACCGGCUGCUGCUCACAUACGCUUGCCUGGGAAAGCAUUCACACACAUUGCAACAGUGUUGCUGAUUGGUAGCUGGUCUGGAGAUGGUGAAUAUUUAAAGUUGCAGAGCCACGUUGGAUGGUCUGUGUGGCUUGUCAGAGGUCGACUUCGUCUUCCUUGCCCGGAUUGUACACGCUGAGGGGCGGGCAGCCCUUCUGCCUUGGAGCUUGAGGGCCAGUUGUCAUCCUUCAGUCUGGUGCCUGGGGAUUUCAGGCUCCUUCAUGAGCACCAGCUGGGAGAGGGUGACUCCACUGUGCAGCAUGUCCAGCAAUUUGAAUAAAACAGUGAUGAUGAUGAUGAUGAUGAUGAUGACGACGACAACAACAACGACAACAACAAAACCUAAUCAUGGAAAUCAUCAAGGAGCAGGGACCCCGAGACUGCUGAGGAAGUUUAUCUGCCUCAUUCACACCCUGAAACCUGGGGUAUGUCUGAAGGCAGUCUCGAAGACAGGACAGUGACCCGGAUCAGACUUCUGGAUUGUGGUGUAGAUGUAAGUCCUGCGAUGAGGAUGGAAAUGUCCCAAUCAGCCUCUGCUGGUGCAGCCUGCUCUCCUGCACGCCAGAGCUCAGCACUCACAGUGGAGUUGGAGGCAACCAACUUUGGGUUGAAAAUAUUUGGACCAUACUUGUAUAGGGCUUUUCUUAUCAUAAUUGUCCAAAUGAUACAGUAUAAGUACUUAUAUAACAUUUGACCUAUGCUAGGCAUUGCAGAGACCCCCCCCCCCAGAGAAGAGUUAUCAGUAUGGGAGGCAGUGUCUGGGUGCUGUGCAAAUACUACAGUAUUUUAUAGAAGGGACCUGAACAUCCCUGGGUUUAUAAAGAGGAAGAGUGUCUGGAACCAACCCCACUGAGACAACUGAACACACACACACACACACACAAACAAACACUCACAGACAAACACACAUACAAAUUCAUACACACACUCUCACACACUCAUAUACACACAUACUCACACACACACACACACUCAUGUACGCACUCACACACGUGCACACAUGCACUCACACACGCACAUUCACACAAGCAUGCACACACACUCACAUACUCAUUAUGGGAUUGGGGUGACAGCUCAGUUGGUAAAGUGCUGGCCGUACAAGCCUGAGGAUCUGAAUUGAAUCCCUCAGAACCCCUGUGGGGGAGGGGAAGUUGGGCAUGAUGGCAUAUACUUGUAAUCCAGGCAAUGGGGAGUCAGAGGCAGGUGAGUCCCUGGGUCUCGCUGCCCAGACAGCCUAGCCUACUUAGCAAGCUCCAUACUAGUGAAAAACUUUCUCAAAAAGCAAGAUAGGGUGGGGCUGGAGAGAAGGAAGGCUCAGUAGUUAAGAGCACCAGCUGUUCUUCUGGAGGACUAGGGUUCAAUGCCCAGCACCUGCACAGUAGCACACAAGUGUUUGUGACUCCUGUUCCAGGGAUCCAGCAUCCUCACACAGACAUGCAUGCAGUCAAAACACCAAUGCACAUAAAAUAAAAAUAGUAAUAAAGAGCAAGGUAGGGGCUGGAGAGAUGGUUCGGCUCUUCUGGAGGACCCAGGUUCGAUUCCCGGCAUCCACAUGGCAGGUCACGACCCUCUUAACUCCAGUUUUUAGGGGCUCUGACACCCUCUUCUAGCCAACACCAAGCAUGCAUGAGAUACGCAGACAUACAUGCAGGAAGUAUGGAUGGGCAGUUAUCUAUUUUCUGGGAAGGAGUGGAUGGUGAUAUUUUAGGCUUCACAGGUCACACAGCUUCUGUCACAGUGACUCAGACAAAAGUAAAAGAGGAGCCACAGACAGAACGCUGGAGUGGGUGUGGCUUCCAGUACCCUCAUGCCACCCUGAGCAGCCACUCUGAAGGACAGUGACUGUCUCUCAGUAAGACUUUAUUUGCAGUGGACCACAGAGGGUCUUUCCCAGCUAUGGCACAUGAGAAAGUUUUGCCUAUCGCCUACUCUAAAAAUUUCUUUGAUGAUUUUUUAAAAAAUUAUUUUCAUGUGCAUUGGUGUUUUGCUUGCAUGUUUGUGCGAGGCUAUCAGAUCCUCUGGAACUGGAGUUACAGACAGUUGUGAGCUGCCAUGGGUGUUGGGAAUUAAACCAGGGUCCUCUGUAAGAACAACCAGUGCUCUUAACCUCUGAGCCAUCUCUCCAACCCCUUGCCUAUUGUUUUAGUUAAGGGUUCUAUUGUUGUGAUAAAACAUCAUGACCUAAAGCAACUUGGAGAAGAAAAGACUUAUUACAACUUAUAGUUACACAUCAUAGUCCUUUGAGGGGAGUCAGGGCAAGAACUCAAACAGGGCAGGACCCUGGAGGCAGGAGCUGAUGCAGAGGCCAUGGAGGGGUGCUGCUUACUUGAUUGCUCUCUGUGGCUUGCUAAGCCUUUCUUAUGGAACCCAGGACCACCAGCUCAGGGGCAGUCCUGCCCACAAUGGGCUGGGCCCUCCCACAAUGGGCUGGGCCUGCCCACAAUGGGCUGGGCCUUCCCACAUCAAUCUCUAAUUAAGAAAGUGCCCUACAGACUUGUCUACAUUUUCUUAAUUGAAAGUCCCUCUUCCCAAAUGACUCUAGAGUUUAUAAAGUUAAAAUAAGUUAACCUGGGCGUGUACGAAAAAGAGGCCUUUAAUGAGUGACAGUGUCAGUGACCCUGUCAUAGGUUGUAUGCCUUAUUCCUUCCUCAGUCAUCCUCUAUGGUUUUGGAUUUUUCUUCAGCAUAGUUAGUUGACUUCAUUCGUGGUAAUUUUGUUUCACCUUUGACCAGUAGUGGUAGCCAGUUCCAAGAUGGUGCCCAGCUGGCUUCAGUUCCUGCUUUUCUGAAAAGAUCAGAACCACUGGAGAGGAACUGUGCUCUCAGUGCCAUCCCACAGUGCAUAGGGCUGGACUGGCAGCCAAUGAACAUUGUAGAACAUCUACAGAAAAUGACAUCAGAGCCCAGGGAAAGAAGACACUGUGGCUUCCUCUUUACCCUCUUUGAGUGGCCCGCUGACUGUCACCUUCGAGGACACCUAAGCAAUCCUGUGGGAAGGGCCCCAUGUCAAAAACCAGACUGACCUUUUCAACCAUGUAGACCAUAUUGGAAGUGAACCUUCCAGUUUUGGUUUAGCAAGCCUUCACAUGACUGACACAUGCUGACACCCUGAUCUUCAGCCACAUGGUGCAGCUUAGCCAGGUUUCUGACCCCACAGAAGUUUUCAUACACACACACACACACACACACACACACACACACACACACACACGCACACACACACACACAUACACCUUGGGGACAUUAGUGAUGCAGCCACAGCUAGCUAAUACGUAGCUCUCAUGUUUACCCCACAUUGGCUAAUUGCUGCUUUGCUUGUAGAAGAGCAGAAGCUGGCUUUGCAAGUGAGAACUUCCGGUUUGCCCAACAGUUUGCUCACAGAAUAAAUGACAGAAAACAUGAUCAGCUGGCCAUUACUGCCAGAUGUUUUGAAAAGUCCCAGGGUUAAGUGGCUUUCCUCUAAUCUGACCUGUUACAUCACACAGCCCAUCUUCUGACCAUAUGAACUAUGACUACGGUAUAUCAAGAUUAAUAACACAACAUACUACUUAUUACAUAGAAAAUAUCACUGUCAAGGACUCACUGAAGAAGGUCCUAGUAUCAGCUCCAUGGUGUUCAGGUUGGGGAAGAGUCUGCAUAACCCCACCAAAUUUCAUGCUGAAAUUUGAAAUUUAAUCUCCGCUUAAUACUCUGAGGUACUACGAGGUUGGGACCUUGGAGAAGCAAUUAGGUCCUAAGAACUCUGCCUCCAUGAGUGGAUUAAUCCACUUACGGAUUAAUGGAUUACUGAGCUAAUGGGUUAUCUUGAGAGCAGGUCUGUCAUGCAAGCCGAUUUGGCUCUAUUUCUUACCUAGUCACCUCUUAGCGUGAGGAUCCAUGCUACCUCUGCAGAGUCCCUGCCAACAAGAAGAACCUCACCAGAUGUGGCAUUUAGACUUUGGGCACCCACCAUGAGAACCGAGAGAUAACUAACACCUAGUUCUUUAUAAACUAGUCGCGAGCAUUCUGUUGCAGCACUAGAAAACAACGCACAAAUGCGUCUUUGAGAUGGAUUAGACUUAGAGUCUGAGUCAGGACUCAAUGUAAUGUGAUUGAACUUGAGGUCCCAGCAUCCCAGACACCUUGCUUUUUAGAGGCCCACGCUGCCGCCUCUGUACCCUUUCUUCCCGGUGUUCUCUGCCCUCUUUGGCAGCUGGGGAAGGGAACACCCCUUUCUAUUUCAGGAUCCAGCUCAACUGUCACCUCCAUUGUACCACCUUCCCUUGACAUUCUCAGCCACUUAACAAAUAUUUAUCUAGGGACCAGCCAUUGACAAGUCCAGCUUAGCAGUCUGAGGGUUCAGCAGGAAAAAUAAAACAAACAAAAAGACGGAAAGAAAAACAAGGAUCUUGCGUUUAAGGGGGCGUUCCCGUGGAAGAAAAUAAACAGAUGACACGGAGAAGAUAA